rnacentral:rRNA from 1 species
AGAGUUUGAUCCUGGCUCAGAUUGAACGCUGGCGGCGUGCCUAACACAUGCAAGUCGAACGCCCUACGCAAGUAGGGAGUGGCGGACGGGUGAGGAACACGUGGGUACCUACCCUUCAGUGAGGAAUACCGGCGAGAAAUCGCCGACAAUACCGCAUACGCUUCGCAAGAAGCAAAGCUCGCAAGAGCGCUGAGGGAUGG